rnacentral:rRNA from 1 species
CCUACGGGCGGCUGCAGUCGAGAAUCUUCGGCAAUGGGCGCAAGCCUGACCGAGCGACGCCGCGUGUGGGAUGAAGGCCCUUGGGUUGUAAACCACUGUCAGAGGGGAUGAAAUGCGGGUGGGUUCUCCCAUCCGUUUGACAUAGCCUCAGAGGAAGCACGGGCUAAGUUCGUGCCAGCAGCCGCGGUAAUACGAACUGUGCAAACGUUAUUCGGAAUCACUGGGCUUAAAGGGUGCGUAGGCGGCCAUGUAAGUAGGGUGUGAAAGCCCCCGGCUUAACCGGGGAAUGGCGCUCUAAACUGCAUGGCUGGAGUGAGAUAGGGGUGUGUGGAACUUCCGGUGGAGCGGUGAAAUGUGUUGAUAUCGGAAGGAACGCCGGUGGCGAAAGCGGCACACUGGAUCUCAACUGACGCUGAGGCGCGAAAGCCAGGGGAGCAAACGGGAUUAGAUACCCCGGUAGUC